UAGCGUAGGGUGCAAGCGUUAAUCGGAAUUACUGGGCGUAAAGCGUGCGCAGGCGGUUUUGUAAGACAGAGGUGAAAUCCCCGGGCUCAACCUGGGAACUGCCUUUGUGACUGCAAGGCUUGAGUGCGGCAGGAGGGGGAUGGAAUUCCGCGUGUAGCAGUGAAAUGCGUAGAUAUGCGGAGGAACACCGAUGGCGAAGGCAAUCCCCGUGGGCCUGCACUGACGCUCAUGCACGAAAGGCGUGGGGAGCAAACAGG
rnacentral:rRNA from 1 species